CCCUUAGAUGUUCUGGGCUGCACGCGCGCUACACUGAUGAAGGCAGCGAGUAAUGACCUUGGUCGAUAGGCCUGGGUAAUCUUGUGAAACUUCAUCGUGCUGGGGAUAGAUUAUUGCAAUUAUUAAUCUUCAACGAGGAAUUCCUAGUAAGUGCAAGUCAUCAACUUGUGCUGACUACGUCCCUGCCCUUUGUACACACCGCCCGUCGCUACUACCGAUUGAAUGGCUUAGUGAGGCCUCCGGAUGACGGCAGAACGGCUGGCAACAGCUGAUCAGCUGACAGAAGUUGGACAAACUUGGUCAUUUAGAGGAAGUAAAAGUCGUAACA
rnacentral:rRNA from 1 species